GGCUGGUCCGAAAGUAGUGGGGUCUCUCAAUUGAUUGUUCACAGUCAGUUACAGAUUGAUCUCCUUGUUCUCUCUUUCCCCCCUUCCCCCUACUACAUUUGACUAGUCUUUU
rnacentral:Y_RNA from 1 species